AUGGGAUAUAAAAGCAAUGGAACAGCUUCCAGACUACAUGAAACUAUGUUACCUUUCACUCUUCAACACUACCAAUGAAAUGGCCUAUCAUAUUCUCAAACAACAAGGGAUUAAUGUCCUGCCCUACCUCACAAAACAAUGGACAGAUUUAUGCAAAUCAUACUUGCAAGAAGCAAAAUGGUACCACAAUGGGCAUAAGCCAAGACUAGAAGAGUACAUGGAUAAUGCAUGGAUUUCAAUUGGAAUUCCUUUGGUAUUACUCCAUGCAUUCAUCUUUCUCACCAAUCCAAUAACCAAAGAGGCAUUGGAAUCCUUGAACAAAAAUCCAGACAUCAUUCAUCGUUGUGCUAUAAUUAACCGUUCUGUCGAUGAUUUGGGGACAUCAUCCGUACGUUUUAAUUUCAUACCUUAAUUCCUCUCAUAUUAAACUUCUGAGUACUCAUCUAUUUCAUUUUCUUUUUCCGUUUAUGUUCUUGUUAAAUUAGUAUGAACUGAAAAGAGGUGAUGUUCCCAAAUCGAUACAGUGUUACAUGAAUGACACGGUUGUUUCGGAAGAAGAGGCAAGAAAACACAUCAAUUUAUUGACAAAGGAGAUGUGGGAAGUGAUGAACAAAGACCAAAUUAGUAAACAAGUGCUAUUUUCGGAAGAAUUCAUUAAGAUUGUGUUUAAUUUUUCAAGAACAUCACACUGCAUGUACCAGCAUGGAGAUGGGCAUGGAAUUUAAAAUUCUCACAUAACAAAUCGGAUUUCCAAA